rnacentral:rRNA from 1 species
AUUGAACGCUGGCGGCAGGCCUAACACAUGCAAGUCGAACGAGUGGCGGACGGGUGAGUAAUGUCUGUGAAACUGCCUGAUGGAGGGGGAUAACUAUUGGAAACGGUAGCUAAUACCGCAUACCAUCAGAUGUGCCCAGAUGGGAUUAGCUUGUUGGUGGGGUAACGGCUCACCAAGGCGACGAUCCCUAGCUGGUCUGAGAGGAUGACCGGCAACACGGGAAAUGCGAAACGGGCCAGAUUCCUACGGGAGGCAGCGGAGGGGAAUAUUGCACAAUGGGCGCAAGCCUGAUGCAGCAAGGCGGCGUAUAUGAAGAAGGCCUUCGGGUUGUAAAGUACUUUCAGCGGGGAGGCGUUACCCGCAGAAGAAGCACCGGCUAACUCCGUGCCAGCAGCCGCGGUAAUAC